AAUUUCUCUAGAAUGGUUAAAUGACAGCUUCUUUGGCCAUCCCAAUAGAAGUACCUGACAAUCCCAACUCUCCUUCCUACUGAACAGACAGUCUCCUUGUGUAGCCCAGGGUCACCUGAACUCAAGGUCCUCUUGCUUCAGGCUACAGAGAGCAGGAAGAAGAAGGAGCUGAAGUUCAACUUACACUCGGGCAGCAUACAUACACAUAUGUAGCAUACAUAUACACAUGUAUGCCACUAGAGCGAAAGUAGAACUGCAUCCUGGAGUCAUCCAUAUCCAUGCCCUAGGUGUCACUGCAGAGCUAUAGUGGCCAUAGAACCAGGCUCGCCAGCAUCAGCUCCCAUGCAGUACAAGGAUGGAAAUGGCUUGAUAAUGCUAAAAAAUGCAAAUGCUUCUCAUUUGUCUGUUGAACUUUUGUCUUUUUACUACUUAAUUAUGAGAUCUCAUAUGCCAUUAUAUUCCCCCACUUGCUUAUUUCUCUUUUAUUUUCUUACACUGUGGAGAAUUGAACUUAUGGCCCCCAUGCAUGCUAGGCAAGCUCACUGUCUACCUUUUGUCUUGGU
rnacentral:lncRNA from 1 species